CUUUCAAUACUGUAAGGACAUUUUCUAUUUUUUGUUCUUUUCAAAAUAUUUCAGUAGAUGGAUGACAAAGUGUGUUAGCACCAACUUAUGUUGUGUUGAAAUACAGUCAUUAGCAAACACCUACAUUAGAGAUAGAGGCCUUCUUAGUGAUUAUGAAAGGGAGCCAUCUGUCACCAAAAUCAGACAUCCCAUGGGUGUGUUUGCUGAAUAGGACAAGACUGUUUAGAGGCCAGAUGUUGUCUUUAUAAUCAAGUAGUUGUACAUAAAAAAGGAGAACAAAACAAAAAGCUGCUGUUGCACACUAAUGUAACAUAUAAAAAAGACACAUUUUUUGUUGAAUAUUUUUUACAGUGUUUGCUGCAGUUUGCAUUUCAAAUACAAACAAAUGUCUUGAAGUCUUGGUUGAUAUUAACCCUUGUACUAUCCUAGGCACUUCAACAUUUGGAAGUGGGGUCAUCCAGACCCACUAGACAGUGCUCUGAACCUUUUUUCUUCAAUGAUUUGUGAUCUUCACGGGUGUCCAUGGAUUACAUGAAAUCUUUCCACCUUUGUCAUGGUAGGAAGAACACGUCAAUUUAAGGGUGUGGUCAUGUAAGAUAGCACAAGGGUUAAAAACACUAACACUGGUAAUUUCAACCCAAAUGUUGGGAUAUUAAUGUUAGGUAUUUAAUUUUGUAUUACUUUUGAAGCACUACUUACUUGUUGGGUUACUAUGGUUUCGUUUCUCAACCCAAUUCUUGUUUUAUUUACUCAAAGUAAAACAACACUGCAAAAGCUUUGCCUUUUUUAAACCUUGGAGUCGGGUUAAAAAUAGCCCAACUUGGGUUAUUUAGAAUCAAAUCAAAAAAAUUAUUUAGAUUUUUGAUUUAUGAUUAGCUUACAAAUUAAAAAAUUACAGUUUUACAAAUAUUUCCUAAUAAAAGAGCUAAUAAAAGAGAUAAUAUGCUAAAAAAACAUAUCUUGCAAUUCUAUAUAUAUAUAUAUAUAUAGAGAGAGAGAGAGAGAGAGAGAGAGAGAGAGAGAGAGAGAGAGAGAAUUGCAAGAUGUGUUUUUAAGCAUAUUAGCUCUUUUACUAGCUCUUUUAUUUUAUUUUUUAAUAUAUAUAUAUAUUAUAUGUAAAACUUUUUAUUUUUUUCCUCAAAAACACAUUUUUCCCACCGGACAGUGUCCUAGGAACUAUUGUGCGUCUUGUGGUUUCAGUGGGAAUUAAUUAAGCGCCGGUUAACUUCCUGUUGUGAAGAGGGACAUAUGUUGUGAGUAGCUGUCAAAUUGCUACGAUUCGAACAAGUUUGUCGUUUUUCUAAGCAAUUCUUCUCACUUCAUCUUAUGUUCAGUUUUGUCUGUCGUGCAGUAGUUUGUUUCUAGAACUAUAAUUGCCUCUCACAACGUUCGGUUUUCUGCUCUUAGUCUUAACGAAAGAAAACGAGAUUCUUACUAGUUGCCGCUAACUCUGAUUGGCUAAAUCGUGUGUAACGAUAUUUAAAAAAAAUAGUAGAAUAAAAAAUGUAAUAUUAACAAUUUAGGGCUAUACAGUGCUGUAUAAACGAAAAAAUAUAGUUUUUCUUACCUUGAAAGUCUUAACGCGUUUUUUCUGCGUUAGAAUCAAACGCGUCGUGUCA
ensembl:lncRNA